rnacentral:rRNA from 1 species
CCUACGGGAGGCAGCAGUGAGGAAUAUUGGGCAAUGGACGCAAGUCUGAACCAGCCAUGCCGCGUGCAGGAAGAAGGUGCUAUGCAUUGUAAACUGCUUUUAUACGGAGGUAAUUACAGAUACGUGUACCUGGAUGAAAGUACCGUAUGAGUAAGGAUCGGCUAACGCCGUUCCAGCAGCCGCGGUAAUACGGUGGAUCCGAGCGUUAUCCGGAUUGAUUGGGUUUAACGGGUGCGUAGGCGGUCAGGUAAGUUAGAGGUGAAAGCGCGAUGCUCAACAUCGAAACUGCCUCUGAUACUGGCUGACUAGAGUGUAGUUGCGGAAGGCGGAAUGUGUGGUGUAGCGGUGAAAUGCUUAGAUAUCACACAGAACACCGAUUGCGAAGGCAGCUUUCCAGGCUAUUACUGACGCUGAGGAACGAAAGCGUGGGGAGCGAACAGGAUUAGAUACCCCGGUAGUC